rnacentral:lncRNA from 1 species
UUAUUUUCUUUUAUUUUCUUCUUUUUUUCUUUUACAUUCACAUAUUACAAAUUUAAAAUAAAUAAACAAAAAUUACAUUAAAACUUUAAAAUUUACAAAAUGGUCCCUAAAAACUCCAGAAUUGCAGGGAAGGAGUCCUGGGGGCUGCGUGAACAGUUCCGGCGCGUGGAUCCACGCGCCGCCGCAAACAAAAACAGGGGACAGGGUGGAUCAGGCUCGGCUUCUCUCUUUCUUCCUCUCCUCACCGGCGGUGAAAGCCCCCCGUUAUCUGCAGAACGAAGAAACACACAAAACAGCAGUUGAUUUUAACUUUUUUUCGUUUUCAAUCUGUUCUCUUUGAUCUGCUUCUCUGCAGAUCGGUUCUUUCGGCGUCUUCUUCUUCUCUAAUUCAGGUAGCAGAUCGUAUGCCCAAGGGGUGGCCGGCGGCUGAGCUUCGGUCGUGGCUGUGCAGCGGCCUGUGCUGGUUCGGGCGAGGAUGGCAGUGGGCGCCGCUGUGUCGGGCUGCUACUGGAGGAAAGGAUGGAGCUGGGUCUGCUGUGGUGGCUUGAUGGUGGAGAUCGGAGAGCUUGUCCGUGAGAAGGGGUCUCGGCUGAGAGGCAGUCGAUCGGUGGAACGGAGAAGAAGAAAAAUUAAAGGAGAAAUGGGGGGGGCUUGAGCUGCGGUGUAGAGAGAAAAAUUCAACGUGGGGGCUGUUGUUUGGCUGGUUUUGAAAGGAAGAAAAAAAACGUUAAGAGCCCCGGGGCUCUCUGGUGUUUUCGGGUCAAAAGAGGGGGGGUCUUGAGGAAGAGAGAGGUUGUGGCUGAGAGAGGAGAACGCAGGGGCAGCGCCGGUGGUGGUUAGAGGAGGAGAUGAUGGGGCGGUGAAGGGUUUUAUUUUGGCUUUGGCCGGGGGAAGAGAAAACAAAAAAAAUUCAAAAGGUGAGGGGCUCUGCUUGGGUGAGCAGCCGCGAGAAGGAAAAACAAAAAAAAUUGGCUUUUUGGGUCUGUGUGGGUGAGGCUGGCUUUAAUUUCAAAGAGAGGGGAAAACCGUGAAGAUGGGGACCCGGCUGCAGGUUGAAGAUGAGAAAAAAAAUGGCCGGCUGCUGGGGGAGAAAAUAGGAAACGGGGAGAAGAAGAAAAUCCCCAAAGGGAUUGGGGACUGUGGGUGCCUGCCCCCCUACUGCCGGGACCCCGAAAAAUAGCUCCAAUCUCCUUUUCUUGCAAAACUGAGAAUGAGAAGAAAUAGGGGCCUUUUCUCGUGAGGAGAGCCAACAAGGAAAAGAAGUCCUGGGUGGGGGCUGAGUUCAUCAUUUUUAGCCGAAAGAGAGGGAUUAAAUAAUGGUAUUGGGCCAGGGGCAACGGCUAAUUUUGGGUGAAGAGAAAAAAAUUCUUAGGUUGCCCCUCCUUCCAAAAUUCAAAAUUCCCUUAGGCAAAAAUAUUGUUUCGGCCUCAAAAUUGGUCCCUUAAUUUUCUUUUUUUUUUGUAAAAUUUAAUUUUUCUUGUUUUUUUGUAUUUUUUUGAAAACGAGCAAUAUCAACGUCGACUCAAAUACGGACAAUCAAUUAUUUUAAAAAUGACGCGUGAAAAGUCGAACACGUUCGAAAGACCCUUAAAAAAAUUUAAAAAAAAAAAAAAUUUUAAACGACGUUGAAAAUGCUAAAAUGACGAAAAUAUAUUAAAAACAUAUUUUUUUGGAUUUUCUUUGUUUUUCUCUAUUUUUGGAUUUUUUGAAAAUAUAUCAAAAACAUGGGUCAAAAAUUGGGUAGCAACAGAUGCCCCCUCUUUACAAUGCUUACGAAGCAAAAAUCCUCGAUGUUUUGCAUAGUAAGCUUUGUAAAGAAAAACUUGUCUUUCUGUUUGCUCAAUAUAUUUUUUUUGUUAACCUGAGAUCCCAUCUGGCGACCUCCUUUACCAAAACCAAAGAAUGCGUGUAGCUCGGUCAACCCGAAACCCCAAUGGAGAUUCCCUUUAACCAAAGCUACAUGAGAUCCCAUCUGGCGACCUCAUUCAACUGGAACAAAAAUAUUGUGUAACUCGGUUAACCUGAAAUCCCAUCUGGCGAUUCCCUUUAACCAAAGCUACCCGAGAUCCCAUCUGGCGACCUCAUUUAACCAAAACAAAAGAAUGUGUGAAAAAUGGUCUCAUUGUAUGGGUGACGAACCCUAGAAAAAUGAUGGUCUCAUUGUAUGGGUGACGAACCCUAUAAAAAUGAUGGUCUCAUUGUAUGGGUGACGAACCCCAGAAAAAUGAUGGUCUCAUUGUAUGGGUGACGAACCCCAAUGGAAAGGAGGAAGAGUGGUCUCAUUCUUUGGGUGACCUACCCAGGGGGAAGAAUGGCCUCAUUCUUAUGGGUGACCUACCCAGGUAAAAAAAAAAAAUGGAGAAUGGUCUCAUUCUAAUGGGUGACCUACCCAGAAAAAAUGGUGGUCUCAUUGUGAUGGGUGACAUACCCAAGUGGAAAGGGGAAAGAGUGGUCUCAUUCUUUGGGUGACCUACCCAGGGGAAGGAAUGGCCUCAUUCUUAUGGGUGACCUACCCAGGUAAAAAAAAAUGGAGAAUGGUCUCAUUCUUUGGGUGACCUACCCAGAAAAAAUGGUGGUCUCAUUGUGAUGGGUGACCUACCCAAGUGGAAAAAGGAAGAGUGGUCUCAUUCUUUGGGUGACCUACCCAGGGGGAGGAAUGGCCUCAUUCUUAUGGGUGACCUACCCAAGUAAAAAAAAGAUGGAGAAUGGUCUCAUUCUUUGGGUGACCCACCCAGAAAAGAUGAUGGUCUCAUUGUGAUGGGUGACCUACCCAAGAUGGAAAAAAUGUGAAGUGUGGUCUCAUUGUAAUGGGUGACCUACCCAGAUGGAAAAAAUGUGAUGAAGUGGUCUCGUUGUGAUGGGCGACCUACCCAGAUAGAAAGAAUGUGAAGUGCGGUCUUAUUAUGAUGGGUGACCUACCCAGAGGGAAAAAAAAUGUGAUAUGACAAGUGUGAAAAAUAGGACUUACCUGGCGAAGUCCUGAGGGGAUGACAGAAGAAGGGCUGGAAAACUUGGUGCUUCCUGAUAAUUCCCGAUCAUAGGGUUUGAAAACUCGGUGUUUCCUGACUGCAAGGGUUGAAAACUCGAGGCUUCCCGAUUGCAAGGUUGAUCUUUCCAUUUCUUUGGGAUUUUCCUAAUGGUAAGGUUUAUCCCAUCGUCCUUUUAUUCCAUGAUCAAAACCGAUUCUUUAUUAUCAUCACCACAAUGCUUUUUUUUUUUCCACCAUCUUGCUGGACCUCAUUAAGGAUUUUCCUGUAACAAUUCAAAAAUAUGUGCAAAUGUUUUUUUUUUUUUUUUUGGUUAGAUGAUAUGCAUGCAUCCUUACCUGAUUUGAAAUAUAGGUCCCCCCCUCCUUGAUGCUCCAUCGUCAUAGGGUGCCCUUUGUUGCAUCCCAAAGCUUUCUUGUUCUUCGAUGCAUUGGCUCAUUCAUGUGCUAGCCAUCCACUCAGCUGUAAAUGCAGUGCCCAUCCCGGGCUGUCUCCGACAAUUACUGCUCGCAUCGCUCAUCAAGCUUGACAAUGCCCCCAAGUGUGGUGAUGCUUGAUUCAUCAUGAAGACUUUUCUCUCUUGGAUUCUUCUGAGAAUUAUCCUCUGAUUGAUUGUGUGCAUCAUGCCAAUAACCAUCAAGAUUGUUAAUCAGUCAUGAACUUGCCUUCGGUUGAAACACCAUUCAAGUAUGUAUGGUCACCAGCCUUCAUGGAAUUGCCAAGUCAUCCAGAAAUGGAACUCAUGCUUUGCAGUAAACGGCUCAUCAUUGUAAGCGCGAUGUAUUUCUUUAUGGAUUCCUCUUAGCUUGUCAAAUCAGAUCGUGAAAAUAACUGCUUUGACAUCAUCAAUGAUGUUCAUGUUAUCACCCAUAUUCAUGCGGUGAAGUGCGCAUUUGAGCUUCAGAAUAGAUGGUCCCAUAGUCAAUCUUAGUGGUAUGCAUAUGUUCGAUGUUCAUUCAAAUGCACUCACCCGAUAACAUCUGUCAGGAGUCAUGGCCAUGUUUUACAGGGUAACCCAAUAUGAAGAUAUCCUUCAAGUGCAGCGUUGCUCAUCAAUUGCUGCUGAAGUGCACUAGAUCAUGGAUUGUCUUUGAACAAAUUGCCCCUAGUUGAUCUGAACAUGCUCAUUCUUCUAUUUACAAACAAAUGGCUUUUGUGAAUGUCAGGAGUGACUUUGGUGGACUUUGAUGACUCAUCAUGUGAUUCUUUCUUUGCCCCCAGCUGAUCUGGAUAUUGUUUGCUUUUCUUCUAAGGGCCCACUGUAUUGCCCCCAGGUGGUCAACGUUUCAAAGAGUGUCGAGAAAUGUUGAUGUCAUUUUUGUCGAGGAUUUUGCAAACUCAACUGAUGUUCUUGUUUGAAAAUCUUUCUUGUUCUGGAAUCAAAUCUCACAUUUCAACGAUCAUGUCUAUUCAAGUCUAAAUGUUGAAAUGAAAUCAGAGAGAUGUCUGUUUUUUGAAGUUAUUAUUUUUUCUUUUGAAAUUCAAACCUCUUUGGUCAAAGACCCAACACACUAUUCAAUGCAGUCCUUUGAUUGUCUUGUAUUUUGAAAACAGAAAUGACCCGUUGUAAGAUUUAAAAUGACUUUUUCAUGGUUCUUUGUGUCCACUUUAAACUCUGAUUUUGGGUAUAUCUUUUGAUGGUCUGUGAUGAGGUGACAUUUUUAUGAAUUUCAAAAACAAGAUGCUCAGGCUUUAUCAAGAAAGGUUGUUUCUUUUCUUAGCAUUUAUUUUAUCAGCAUGCAUAAUAACAGAUAGCUUAAUUCAUGAAGUCACGACCCUUAUGGAAAAACUCUUCAAGUUUUGAGAGCGCCAUUUAUCGAUUCAAAUUGCUUGCUUGAUUAAAAAGGGCUUUUAAAAGCACGUAAUGCAGGCUAUGGUUCAUGGCUAUGAAAGAAAAGAAUUUCCAAGGCUCAAAAGGUGUUUGAGGGUUUCAACGACCUAGGACCAACAUUAACUAUUCAUCGAUUCUCUUUCUCUUGUUGUCAUUGUAGAGAAAGUGACAUAUAACCUUGUUAAUCUUCAGAUAUCAGAAUUCUCUUAACAUAGGUCGUAAUCCAACUUUUUCUUUGAUGAAUAACUAAUCUAAUUUUGAAGACAUUAGAGGCUCUAUCCGAGACACACCAAAAGAUAUGAAGCAUCGAUUUUUCUAGUGUUGACUUUUGGCAUUUAUUGUCUUUUCUCAUUUGAAAGUUGUCUUGCCUCUCUUAGAAUUGGUAGGCAUUUUCUUUCAUUUCCUCAAAGUUUUUCUUGGAUGGCCCUCAAUCUAUGGAUUUUCUCCUUCUAGCCCUUUCUCAAACAUUGGACUUUUGUUCUAAGCUUUUCUUUGAUCCAUUGAUUUUAUCCGUGUCUCCAAAAUAUUUAUCAUUUGCCCCUAGUGUGGGGUGUGAUCCUAGACAGGGUUUUUAUGAAAAAAAAUAUUCUAUACAGCUCAAAAUGGGACUACAAGGGAUAUAAUCUUUAGAAAGUGAAGGGAUAUCAAAGAUGGCCUUUUCUCAUUUCAAGCAAGGUCGGUUAGAAUCGAUAAAUUUUGACCUCAUCUAGUGUAAUGAUUUGGACUUGUAAGAGUCAUGAUUCAUGAGUCCAUAGAUACCGAAACCACUACAUGUCAUUAUGCAUACUGUUAAAACUUAGCUACAUGAUGUGUGGUUCAGUUUCAGGAAGUAUGAGUUCAAAAUUUGUUCGGUCACCUCAUGUCAUUUCAACAAGAAUCGAGUCAUUUCUGCAAUCAAAACACUUUUAAUCUUCAGGAUUGAUUAACCUUUAUCGCAUCUUGGAGUUUGACCAAAAUAUUUUGUCAAAAUACCCUUUGAAAGAAGUAUCUCUUGAUUUCAAAACAACCAGAAGACAAAGAAAAGACAUGUUUCGUUUAAGGAUGUGAUGUGAUCCCAAAACAAAAUGCAAAAUGUCAAAAAUCCAUAACAAAAAUGCUUGACAGUUUAACUCCUUCUUGGAUCAGCUUCUCUGGCAAUAUCUAUGUUUUACCUAGCAAUUCCGAUCACUUGUCAUUCUGAAAAUGAUUGACGACAUCAUCUUUCGCAAAUUGAGCUCGACUCUUGAAACUCUUGCAUCUGCUUAACUAAAAUGGCCGAGGACCCCCACCAUGAGAACACAUCUCUUGUCCAGAUUGAAACACCUAGAAAUUGGUGGUUGCAUGGGAUUUGUCGGAGUCAAGCAAAAUUCUGAAAUCUGGCAGAUGCUGGUCGACAAACUUAAACGGCAGAGGAAUGUCCCAUCUUGGCAAAGACAUUUGAGCAAUUGAUGCUACCGUGAGACUAGCUAUACCACAUAAUUAAGGGUUCACACCGUCGAAGUCAUCUCCUGAUUCACCUCUCAUCAUUGUUCUGGAAUCCAUGGCAGAUCCUUCAAUCUUUCCUCUCUUCAUAGUUUGUUCAAUUCUUCGGCAAAUCCUCACAACAUCAUUUCAAUGUUGCUGGGGUUGGUUGAGGAUUGUUAGAAAACUUUCAAACAGCUUUGUAAUCUUGGCAGCGCCCAGAAACUUGUAGUAUCGCCACUACCGACGUGUGGAAUUACACAUUGUCUCUAUUGGAAGAAGCACCUGAUGAAUAUAAAACUCCUUUGUCCCCUCUUCGAUUUCUCACUGACAGUGCAGCAAACAAACACCUAUAGAGGAAGUCCUGCUCUGUUGAAGUUUCAGUAUUCUUCAUGUUUUUCAGUCUAGGCAUGUCUCUUCUCUCUACUUUUGAGUUUUAAUACUGACACUAUUGGAGGAAAAUCAUAGAUGAUCUGAAACUACUGUGUUCUUUCUUGGAUUUUCCACUUGCGGAUCCACAAACAGAUUCCUGCCGAAAGAGCUCUGCUACGUUGAAGUUUGAUGUCUGCUCGUAUUAUUCAGACCAGGUCUGGCUCUUCAACCUACUAAAAGGUCUUCGUGCUGAAGCUGAUGAGUGAAAUAUUUGUAGCAUAUGCAACUUAUAAAUCCCCUCUUGCAUUUCCAAUUUGCAGAGCCAUAAAUGGAUUUUUGUAAAGAGAGCUCUGCCACAUUGAAGUUCAGUGUUUAAUCAUGGUUUUUCAGACCAUCUUGUGCUGCUGAACUGGAAUUGAGCUCAUAAUCGGGGUAACUUAAAAGCAGACUAAUGCACCAUGUAUAGGAGGCUAGUAGUCGUUUGGUUCCAUUAGAUGAUGUGGAGGCAAUGAACACUUAACAAUGCAACUAGACAAGAAUCAGAGUUGUCAUUAGCUGAUGACUGAAGGCGUCGUUGCUGUUGUUCAUGACUGAAAAGGAGAGAUACAGCUUCGAUUGGACGUGAACAAGUAGUGUUCCCACAGAAGACUGUGCAGGCAUUCUCUUUCCAUUUGAUGCUCAACACUUGUUCGAGCAGAUCUGAGUCCAACUAUUUCGCCUUUGAUGCUCUCAAACUCAAACUGAUAAUGAGCCUCUAUCUGACAUCUUUCUUCACUUCCAUCCUUUCUUUAAUCACUUGCAGCACAGCUUGUGCGGGGGAACCUACUUUUCAACUCGGUACAUGCAUGAUAAAUGUAUGAACAUGUAAUCUAUAUGACGAACUCACCCUUCGAGGGGUGACAAUAUGGUCGUAACUCUUGUAUGAUGGAGCAAGAAUCGUGAUUUUUGCCCAAACUCUACAAUGAAAAUUUUCGGAGUGACGGCCAAUGUGUCACCUACAAGUCUUGAGUUCAAGAUGCUUCAAGAAAGGUUUGCUCAAAUGCAAAACAAAACAAAUAUUUACGGAGCAUACAUCCUACAGGCAAGUUCUAAUCUUUUUACGUGAGACAGGGUAGGUUUGCUACUUGGUCUCUAAAAGGGUCUCUUGUUGUCCCAGUGAUCGCCUUCGUAAAGGCAAUAUAGGGGCCCAGUAGGUAAUUGGUUGGCACGUGUCCAACUAUUACCAGUCUAAGCACUCAACAAAGAGUUGGGGUUUACACAAACUUAAACCUUGACUCAAGUCGUAAGGCAAGCUGCUAGUCCCCCACCUAACCUAAAGCUGGUGUUUGCUUUCAAAAAUUAAAACUUGUGAUGCAUGAGAGAAAUAUAUACAAUGCAUGAAUAAAACACAAAUAAAUAAAACAAAGCACACAAAAAAAAAUUGAACACAUCAAAACACAAAGCUUAGUCCGAUAAAGUUGAAAACAAUACCUUUCCCCAGUGGAGUCGCCAUCCUGUCGCACCCCAAAAAAUGAAAAAAUCCAUCCGGCGCGCGGCAUCGGGCUGGCGAUUUUUCUUGUUUUUGCGUUUGCUUUGAAUUUGUUCGUUGGAGUCGCCACCUAGUAAUUCAUUGAGGACUACUAGGAAACCUGAUGUACUGGUCUUGUCAGAGAUCGCGGAUAAGGGACUGGUUGUGGUUAGGGAAGGUAUUAGCACCCCUAACACACCCUACCUGAGGUAAGCUGCAUUGUGUUCUAAUGUGAUUUGAAAAUUUAAAAUAUUAAUUAAAUUCUAAGGCUUGAAUAAAUUAGUUAUUAAAUCCCAGAAUAUAUGUAAAAACUUGUUCUUACAUUUUCAUGGAAAAUACAACUUGAUUUUAUUUGUCCUUGAGAUAUUUAACCAUAUUUAAGAAAAUUUAAAAUAUUAAUUAAAUUCUAAGGCUUGAAUAAAUCAGUUAUUGAAUCCCCGAAUAUAUGUAAAAAACUUGUUCUUACAUUUUCGUGGAAAAUACAACUUGAUUUUAUUUAUCCUUAAGAUAUUUAAUCAUAUUUAAAUUAACAAUUAACUCUUUUUAUCCUUCUUUUAUUUUUACAAUUUAAUAACAUAAAUAAAAAUACAAACAAGCACACAUCUCUUUUUAUUAUUUAUUUUCUUUUAUUUUCUUCUUUUUUUCUUUUACAUUCACAUAUUACAAAUUUAAAAUAAAUAAACAAAAAUUACAUUAAAACUUUAAAAUUUACAAAAUGGUCCCUAAAAACUCCAGAAUUGCAGGGAAGGAGUCCUGGGGCUGCGUGAACAGUUCCGGCGUGUGGAUCCAUGCGCCGCCGCAAACAAAAACAGGGGACAGGGUGGAUCAGGCUCGGCUUCUCUCCUUCUUCCUCUCCUCACCGGCGGUGAAAGCCCCCGUUAUCUGCAGAACGAAGAAACACACAAAACAGCAGUUGAUUUUAACUUUUUUUCGUUUUCAAUCUGUUCUCUUUGAUCUGCUUCUCUGCAGAUCGGUUCUUUCGGCGUCUUCUUCUUCUCUAAUUCAGGUAGCAGAUCGUAUGCCCAAGGGGUGGCCGGCGGCUGAGCUUCGGUCGUGGCUGUGCAGCGGCCUGUGCUGGUUCGGGCGAGGAUGGCAGUGGGCGCCGCUGUGUCGGGCUGCUACUGGAGGAGAGGAUGGAGCUGGGUCUGCUGUGGUGGCUUGAUGGUGGAGAUCGGAGAGCUUGUCCGUGAGAAGGGGUCUCGGCUGAGAGGCAGUCGAUCGGUGGAACGGAGAAGAAGAAAAAUUAAAGGAGAAAUGGGGGGGGCUUGAGCUGCGGUGUAGAGAGAAAAAUUCAACGUGGGGGCUGUUGUUUGGCUGGUUUUGAAAGGAAGAAAAAAAACGUUAAGAGCCCCGGGGCUCUCUGGUGUUUUCGGGUCAAAAGAGGGGGGGUCUUGAGGAAGAGAGAGGCUGUGGCUGAGAGAGGAGAACGCAGGGGCAGCGCCGGUGGUGGUUAGAGGAGGAGAUGAUGGGGCGGUGAAGGGUUUUGUUUUGGCUUUGGCCGGGGGAAGAGAAAACAAAAAAAAUUCAAAAGGUGAGGGGCUCUGCUUGGGUGAGCAGCCGCGAGAAGGAAAAACAAAAAAAAUUGGCUUUUUGGGUCUGUGUGGGUGAGGCUGGCUUUAAUUUCAAAGAGAGGGGAAAACCGUGAAGAUGGGGACCCGGCUGCAGGUUGAAGAUGAGAAAAAAAAUGGCCGGCUGCUGGGGGAGAAAAUAGGAAACGGGGAGAAGAAGAAAAUCCCCAAAGGGAUUGGGGACUGUGGGUGCCUGCCCCCCUACUGCCGGGACCCCGAAAAAUAGCUCCAAUCUCCUUUUCUUGCAAAACUGAGAAUGAGAAGAAAUAGGGGCCUUUUCUCGUGAGGAGAGCCAACAAGGAAAAGAAGUCCU